rnacentral:tRNA from 1 species
GGGGGUAUAGCUCAGUGGUAGAGUAUUCGACUGCAAAUCCAGAGGUCCCCGGUUCAAACCCGGGUGCCCCCU